rnacentral:rRNA from 1 species
AGUGAACGCUGGCGGUAGGCCUAACACAUGCAAGUCGAACGGCAGCACAGUAAGAGCUUGCUCUUACGGGUGGCGAGUGGCGGACGGGUGAGGAAUACAUCGGAAUUUACUUUUUCGUGGGGGAUAACGUAGGGAAACUUACGCUAAUACCGCAUACGACCUACGGGUGAAAGCAGGGGAUCUUCGGACCUUGCGCGAUUGAAUGAGCCGAUGUCGGAUUAGCUAGUUGGCGGGGUAAAGGCCCACCAAGGCGACGAUCCGUAGCUGGUCUGAGAGGAUGAUCAGCCACACUGGAACUGAGACACGGUCCAGACUCCUACGGGAGGCAGCAGUGGGGAAUAUUGGACAAUGGGCGCAAGCCUGAUCCAGCCAUACCGCGUGGGUGAAGAAGGCCUUCGGGUUGUAAAGCCCUUUUGUUGGGAAAGAAAAGCAGCAGGUUAAUACCCCGCUGUUCUGACGGUACCCAAAGAAUAAGCACCAGCUAACUUCGUG